GAUGAACGCUGGCGGCGUGCCUAAUACAUGCAAGUCGAGCGAACGGACGAGAAGCUUGCUUCUCUGAUGUUAGCGGCGGACGGGUGAGUAACACGUGGAUAACCUACCUAUAAGACUGGGAUAACUUCGGGAAACCGUAGCUAAUACCGGAUAAUAUUUUGAACCGCAUGGUUCAAAAGUGAAAGACGGUCUUGCUGUCACUUAUAGAUGGAUCCGCGCUGCAUUAGCUAGUUGGUAAGGUAACGGCUUACCAAGGCAACGAUGCAUAGCCGACCUGAGAGGGUGAUCGGCCACACUGGAACUGAGACACGGUCCAGACUCCUACGGGAGGCAGCAGUAGGGAAUCUUCCGCAAUGGGCGAAAGCCUGACGGAGCAACGCCGCGUGAGUGAUGAAGGUCUUCGGAUCGUAAAACUCUGUUAUUAGGGAAAAACAUAUGUGUAAGUAACUGUGCACAUCUUGACGGUACCUAAUCAGAAAGCCACGGCUAACUACGUG
rnacentral:rRNA from 1 species